rnacentral:rRNA from 1 species
UACGUAGGGUGCAAGCGUUAAUCGGAAUUACUGGGCGUAAAGCGUGCGCAGGCGGUUAUGCAAGACAGAUGUGAAAUCCCCGGGCUCAACCUGGGAACUGCAUUUGUGACUGCAUGGCUAGAGUACGGUAGAGGGGGGGAUGGAAUUCCGCGUGUAGCAGUGAAAUGCGUAGAUAUGCGGAGGAACACCGAUGGCGAAGGCAAUCCCCUGGACCUGUACUGACGCUCAUGCACGAAAGCGUGGGAGCAACAGG